rnacentral:rRNA from 1 species
GACGAACGCUGGCGGCGUGCUUAACACAUGCGAGUCGAACGAAGAGCGAUGGAAGCUUGCUUCUAUCAAUCUUAGUGGCGAACGGGUGAGUAACGCGUAAUCAACCUGCCCUUCAGAGGGGGACAACAGUUGGAAACGACUGCUAAUACCGCAUACGAUCUAAUCUCGGCAUCGAGGAUAGAUGAAAGGUGGCCUCUACAUGUAAGCUAUCACUGAAGGAGGGGAUUGCGUCUGAUUAGCUAGUUGGAGGGGUAACGGCCCACCAAGGCGAUGAUCGGUAGCCGGUCUGAGAGGAUGAACGGCCACAUUGGGACUGAGACACGGCCCAGACUCCUACGGGAGGCAGCAGUGGGGAAUCUUCCGCAAUGGACGAAAGUCUGACGGAGCAACGCCGCGUGAGUGAUGACGGCCUUCGGGUUGUAAAGCUCUGUUAAUCGGGACGAAAGGCCUUCUUGCGAAUAGUGAGAAGGAUUGACGGUACCGGAAUAGAAAGCCACGGCUAACUACGUG